rnacentral:rRNA from 1 species
GACGAACGCUGGCGGCGUGCUUAACACAUGCAAGUCGAACGGAAAGGCCCUGCUUUUGUGGGGUGCUCGAGUGGCGAACGGGUGAGUAACACGUGAGUAACCUGCCCUUGACUUUGGGAUAACUUCAGGAAACUGGGGCUAAUACCGGAUAGGAGCUCCUGCUGCAUGAUGGGGGUUGGAAAGUUUCGGCGGUUGGGGAUGGACUCGCGGCUUAUCAGCUUGUUGGUGGGGUAGUGGCUUACCAAGGCUUUGACGGGUAGCCGGCCUGAGAGGGUGACCGGCCACAUUGGGACUGAGAUGCGGCCCAGACUCCUACGGGAGGCAGCAGUGGGGAAUGGUGCACAAUGGGCGGAAGCCUGAUGCAGCAACGCCGCGUGGGGGAUGACGGCCUUCGGGUUGUAAUCCGCUUUCGCCUGUGACGAAGCGUGAGUGACGGUAAUGGGUAAAGAAGCACCGGCUAACUACGUG